UGGUGCAGAGGCAGUAGCACACAUAUUAUAUUAGGUGAUGUUGUGACAAGAUUGCAUGUGGAGGAAGUUCCCUCCAGCAGUAAUCUGUCCAGAAGCCACAGCGCAGGCCUAUACUCAAAAGGGGAAGAGGGCAAGGGAGCUCCCUAGGGAGCCUAGGUGAUGCCUCUGAGUGCACAGUGGGGACAUGAGUCAGAGAGCCCCGAAGGGAAGGUUAUGAAAUAUUUCAUCCUAAAUAUGUAAAAUAAUUUGUUCCCCAAUGAAAGGCAAAGUGUCUAUUUGCAAAGCUGAAAUAGUUUCCUUGUGUUCGAAGGAUGAUUACAUAGACUGGAAUUUGUCAGACACAAGCCAUUUGACCUUGUUUAGGUAGAGUCACUUGAUAAAUACAUAGACCUACAAAUAUUUUAUUACCAUCUCUUGCAGCCCUAUUCAAGCACAUAGAAAAAAUUCUGUAUAGGUGACUACCAUCUUCUGUCUGAUAGUUAAACUCUAGUCAUUAUUUCUUCCCUCAGUAUUUCACAAAUACACUGGAAGUUUAUUGCUAUACAGUACAAAAUUUUAUUCCUCCACAUGCAUUUGCUCUGUGGCAAAAUUCAGUAAUCUUUAUGUCUUUUAUAUAGUCUUCUUAAUCAGUAUUUCCCUUUUCUUAUAUUUUUCUUAAAAUUUCCUGCUUGAGGUACAAAGAAGCAGAAUAGGAGCCAUUUUAGGGAAAGCAGACAAGGAUUACACAGUGAUCUAGGGACCCAGGAGACUAGAAGUGCUGGAGAGCUUUCUUGGGAAGAUGGGAUGAGUGGGAGACCUGGCUUAGAGGACACUUUUUUUUUUUUUUUUUUUUUUUUGAAGUUAGAGGUUUUGCCUUUUGUUUAUGAACUCCUUGACUGAUGGGCUAGAGAAUUCAUGGAGGGGCCCAGGAGAGAGGAAGCAGGAGAAGCUACUUCAGAUUGGCUAAGGGUAGGAGAGCCAAAGGAGACCG
rnacentral:lncRNA from 1 species